rnacentral:rRNA from 1 species
AGAGUUUGAUCCUGGCUCAGGACGAACGCUGGCGGCGUGCCUAAUACAUGCAAGUCGAGCGGGCUGAUCCUUCGGGUGAGGCUAGCGGCGGACGGGUGAGUAACACGUAGGCAACCUGCCUGUAAGACUGGGAUAACUAUCGGAAACGAUAGCUAAGACCGGAUAACUGGUUUCCUCGCAUGAGGGAAUUAUGAAAAGCG